GACGAACGCUGGCGGCGUGCUUAACACAUGCAAGUCGAACGGAAAGGCCCUGCUUGCAGGGUACUCGAGUGGCGAACGGGUGAGUAACACGUGGGUGAUCUGCCCUGCACUUCGGGAUAAGCCUGGGAAACUGGGUCUAAUACCGGAUAGGAGCCAUUUUUAGUGUGAUGGUUGGAAAGUUUUUUCGGUGUAGGAUGAGCUCGCGGCCUAUCAGCUUGUUGGUGGGGUAAUGGCCUACCAAGGCGGCGACGGGUAGCCGGCCUGAGAGGGUGGACGGCCACAUUGGGACUGAGAUACGGCCCAGACUCCUACGGGAGGCAGCAGUGGGGAAUAUUGCACAAUGGGCGCAAGCCUGAUGCAGCGACGCCGCGUGGGGGAUGACGGCCUUCGGGUUGUAAACUCCAUUCGCUAGGGACGAAGCUUUUUGUGACGGUACCUAGAUAAGAAGCACCGGCUAACUACGUG
rnacentral:rRNA from 1 species